CUACGGGUCGCAGCAGUGGGGAAUAUUGCACAAUGGGGAAAACCCUGAUGCAGCAACGCCGCGUGGAGGAUGACGCAUUUCGGUGUGUAAACUCCUUUUAUAUAGGAAGAUAAUGACGGUACUAUAUGAAUAAGCACCGGCUAACUCCGUGCCAGCAGCCGCGGUAAUAGCGGAGGGUGCAAGCGUUACUCGGAAUCACUGGGCGUAAAGCGCGCGCAGGCGGCCCCUUAAGUUGGCUGUGAAAGCCUACGGCUUAACCGUAGAACUGCAUCCAAAACUGAGGGGCUAGAGUCUGGGAGGGGAAGAUGGAAUUAGUUGUGUAGGGGUAAAAUCCGUAGAGAUAACUAGGAAUACCAAAAGCGAAGGCGAUCUUCUGGAACAGUACUGACGCUGAGGCGCGAAAGCGUGGGGAGCAAACAGGAUUAGAUACCCGAGUAGUC
rnacentral:rRNA from 1 species